UUCUACAGUGUAUAAAAUAAAGCACUGGAGUUCUGGAGAGGUGAGGCAGAAUACGAAGGUAAACAGGAAUCAUUAUUCCUUUUCUCAGAGGUAUGUAAUCUACAGGGGAAGCAUGCAGCACCUGAAAGGGGAGGAGAGGUUGGUGGGCCAUGCAGGGUUGAAGGAGGAGCAUAGGAACAUGGGUCUGGGAAAGUUUGGCUAGCUUUACAGUGCUCAAUUGAAAUACUACUUUGCAAUAUUUUCUCAACACCAGGGUUCUAGUUUGUUAGUCCUACUGAGACAUCAGGUCAGAAGAAAAGAACAAAAGUGAGAAGGCAUUCAUGGCUUUGCAUUCUCAGAAAGUCAUCCUGCUGGUUCAACUGUGUAUGAUUGAGCAUAUUGUCAUUGAUGAAGAAUUUUUAUUUAUUUUUGAUCAAAGACUUCACCAUGUUUCCUGAACUUUUCAAUCUUCUGUUUGCAGAGUUUAAUGUGAGCUCUCCUCGGGCCUGGGAGAAAUUCUGAGAGUGACCCCUGAGAAUGAGCUCAGUGGUGAGAAGUCCAAGGACAGGAUGAGGUCGACAUUGCAAGUGUUUUUGGAAUAAGAAUCAACACACUUAAAGACUGGGAUUUGGAAGUGAGAAGGAGUACAUGGAAGUGAUUCAGGAAAACAAGGAAAUGAGACACAAGUGGCAACAUUUGUCAAAGUUCUAUGCAUUUGUUCCUUUGGAUUCAAGUGAAACAUCUGGAGUCAAUUCUUAACCCAAUGUUGGUUUGUUCUCACCAACCUCUUUGCCCUGCUAUUGGAAAAUAUAUUACAUUUCUGUAUGUUAUAUGCCCACAGAUACAAUUAAAUGUAUACUGCUUUAUGAUUUUUAAACAAGAUAAGAAAGGAUAAGAAAUAGGCAAUUAUACUCCUUUAUAAUUGCAUAAUUACCUUUAUCAGUGUUCUUUGUUUUGUGUGUGUGUGUAUUCAAAUUACUGUCUUUGGUCACUUGCUUUCAGCCUGAAGAACUAACUUUAGCAUGUCUUGUAAGGUAGGUCUAUUGGCAGCAGAUUCUUUCAGAUUUUGUUUUCCAAAUGUCUUUUUAUUUCAUCUUCACUUUUAAAUGAUAAUUUUGCUGGAUAUAUGAUUCUUGAUUAAGAGCUUUUAAAAUUUGAGGGCUGAGAAUAGGUUAUCCUAUUGCCUUCAGCCCUCUAUUGUUUCUGAUGAUAAGUCAACUGUUAAUCUUAUACGAGUUUUCUUAAGCAAGAUGUCAUUUUCCUCUUGCUGCCUUCAAGAUUUUCUUUGGCAUUUUUACUAUGUGUCUAUUCAUGGGUCUUUUUGAGUUUAUCCUACUUGCAGUUUGUUGAACAUCCUGGAUAUAUAGAUUUAAAUUUUUUAGGAAAUGGGAAUUUUUUAGCCACUAAUUUUUCAAAUAUUUUUCUGCUCCUUUCCUUCUCUGUUCUUCUGGUGCUGCCUUUACAUGUCUGUUGGUAUACAUUAGUGUCCCACAUUUCUCUGAGACUUUGCUCAUUUUUUCUUCAUUCUUUUUUCACUCUGUUCUUGGAUUGCAUAAUUUCUAUUGAUCUAUUCUUAAGUACUUUUACUUUCUGCCCGUUUAAGUGUAUUAUUGAUUCCAUCUAGUGAAUUUUUAAAUUUCAGUUAUUGCUCCUUUCAGUUUCAAAAUUUCCAUUUGGUUAUUUUUAAUAAUUUCUGUCUCUUUAUUAAUGUUCUCUAUGUGAUGUGACACUGUCUUCAUGCUUUACUUCUAAAAUCAUGGUUUUCUUUGUUUCUUUGAACAUAUUUAUAAUGGCUUCUUUUCUCACAUCUGGUCUCUCCUGCAGGUGGCUUUAUUGCCUGCUAUUCUUCUGGUAUCUAGGCCAUAAUUUCCUGCUUAUUUUGCAUGUCUCAUAUUUUUUGGAAAAUGAACAUUUUAGAUAUUGCAGCAACUUUGGGUACUGGCUUCAUCUCUCCCCUCUGUCAGUGCUUGUCAUUGUUGUUAGCUUGUUUACUUGUUUAAAGACUAACUGGAUUAUUUUAGUGUUGUCCAUUCCCUUCUCUUCCUCCUCUAUCCACUAAACAGACACAGGGUAAAGCCUCUGAUGUUUUUCCUCAGGGAUUCAUCCUUGGACAUGCCCAGCCACUUUGGGAUAACAAGGUUUUAGCAGGACUUAGGCAGUGUUUGUCUAGUUACCUGACCACGCUAACCUAUGAAACUCCACUAACUGCUGGUUAAAAGCUCUAUUGUUCAUAACAAUGCCCUGGAGAAUAAAUUAUUUACACCCUAAUCCAGUCAAAUUCAGGCUGCUAUGAAGGGACAGUUCCUGAUGGUCAAAGUUUGAAAUUUAUUCAGACUCUAGUUCUUGCAGCUGGUUUCUUAUUUUUCUCCAGGAACUAGUUGGCUUAUCAUUUAGCCUGUAUCUUCAAUGAAUUUAUCAGUCUCCUCCCCAUUGCCUCUCACCAACACUUCUACUGUUUUUGAAAGCAAACUUAGAUUUGAACUUCAUAUGCUGUUGCAAAUAAAGUUGGCUCCUUUGGGGAGAUAAUUUGAGCUCUCUGUUCUAUGGUCUGCCUUUCCUCCCAGGGAAAAUCUCUGAGCCACAACUCUGGUGCUGGAGUAAGGAACAAUAGGUCAAUUCUAAGUGACAGCCCAGUUUGAAGAAGUAAGUGCUCAGUGGAUAUAUGGGCAAGAGCCCCAGGUGUCCUUGGCUUGUCUCCCUUGGCACAAGCCCCUGUCCUAUGAGCUGAGUCAAUAGCAAUUGGGACCUCAAUGUCCUACCAUGCCCAAGGUAGAACCUUUGUCUCAUGAGAGGAAACAUGGUGGAAGAAUGGGGCCCCCACCUGUUGGCUGCAGUAGUACAGAACUUUGCCUCAGCAACAAGUAUCUAGGGGCAGUAUGAGAAAUGCUAAUGUCAUGUCCUUCCCAGGAAGACAACCCUCCAACCAGGAC